rnacentral:sRNA from 1 species
UAAAUCCUGAGAUGUGCGCUUAGCUUAAAAUAUUCAACCUACAUUGAAUAUACGGGAUUUGCUAUAUCUAAAAGUAUGCUGGGCUCCAGUAAUUCACUUAUGUGGCAGGAGAAAGCAAAGAGUUAGUGCGCUUAACCCACCUGCGAGUAGCAGGUAUGAAUAUUUAAGUGACCGGCAUGUUGGGAAUAAU